AGGGAGUACACACUUGCCUCAUG
rnacentral:miRNA from 9 species